AGGUAAGCUACUAAGAGCGAAUGGUGGAUGCCUUGACUGGUAAAGGCGAUGAAGGACGUACUAGACUGCGAUAAGCUACGGGGAGCUGUCAAGAAGCUUUGAUCCGUAGAUUUCCGAAUGGGGCAACCCAAUGUAUAGAGAUAUACAUUACCUAUAUAGGAGCGAACGAGGGGAAUUGAAACAUCUUAGUACCCUCAGGAAAAGAAAUCAAUAGAGAUUGCGUCAGUAGCGGCGAGCGAAAGCGCAAGAGGGCAAACCCAGUGCUUGCACUGGGGGUUGUAGGACUGCAAUGUGCAAGAGGUGAGUUUAGCAGAACAUUCUGGAAAGUAUAGCCAUAGAGGGUGAUAGUCCCGUAUGCGAAAAACAAACCUUAGCUAGCAGUAUCCUGAGUAGGGCGGGACACGAGAAAUCCUGUCUGAAGCUGGGUCGACCACGAUCCAACCCUAAAUACUAAUACCAGAUCGAUAGUGCACAAGUACCGUGAGGGAAAGGUGAAAAGAACUGAGGUGAUCAGAGUGAAAUAGAACCUGAAACCAUUUGCUUACAAUCAUUCAGAGCCCUAUGUAGCAAUACAGGGUGAUGGACUGCCUUUUGCAUAAUGAGCCUGCGAGUUGUGGUGUCUGGCAAGGUUAAGCAAACGCGAAGCCGUAGCGAAAGCGAGUCUGAAUAGGGCGCUUAGUCAGAUGCUGCAGACCCGAAACGAAGUGAUCUAUCCAUGAGCAAGUUGAAGCUAGUGUAAGAACUAGUGGAGGACUGAACCCAUAGGCGUUGAAAAGCCCCGGGAUGACUUGUGGAUAGGGGUGAAAGGCCAAUCAAACUUCGUGAUAGCUGGUUCUCUCCGAAAUAUAUUUAGGUAUAGCGUUGUGUCGUAAUAUAAGGGGGUAGAGCACUGAAUGGGCUAGGGCAUACACCAAUGUACCAAACCCUAUCAAACUCCGAAUACCUUAUAUGUAAUCACAGCAGUCAGGCGGCGAGUGAUAAAAUCCGUCGUCAAGAGGGAAACAACCCAGACUACCAGCUAAGGUCCCUAAAUCUUACUUAAGUGGAAAACGAUGUGAAGUUACUUAAACAACCAGGAGGUUGGCUUAGAAGCAGCCAUCCUUUAAAGAAAGCGUAAUAGCUCACUGGUCUAGUGAUUUUGCGCGGAAAAUAUAACGGGGCUAAAGUAAGUACCGAAGCUGUAGACUUGCGCACAACUUAGAUUAUUUAAGUUUAGAAUAUGAGAAACUAAGUUAUAUGUUUAGUUAUAUUUUUACUGAUUUUUAUAGAGUAAAGAUAGAAAUAAAACUUAGUAAAAUCAGUAAAAAUAUUCUUAGACUAAAGUUAAGUAGUUUAAGUUGUGUGCAAGUGGUAGGAGAGCGUUCUAUUUGCGUCGAAGGUAUACCGGUAAGGAGUGCUGGAGCGAAUAGAAGUGAGCAUGCAGGCAUGAGUAGCGAUAAUUAAUGUGAGAAUCAUUAACGCCGUAAACCCAAGGUUUCCUACGCGAUGCUCGUCAUCGUAGGGUUAGUCGGGUCCUAAGUCGAGUCCGAAAGGGGUAGACGAUGGCAAAUUGGUUAAUAUUCCAAUACCAACAUUAGUGUGCGAUGGAAGGACGCUUAGGGCUAAGGGGGCUAGCGGAUGGAAGUGCUAGUCUAAGGUCGUAGGAGGUUAUACAGGCAAAUCCGUAUAACAAUACUCCGAGAACUGAAAGGCUUUUUGAAGUCUUCGGAUGGAUAGAAGAACCCCUGAUGCCGUCGAGCCAAGAAAAGUUUCUAAGUUUAGCUAAUGUUGCCCGUACCGUAAACCGACACAGGUGGGUGGGAUGAGUAUUCUAAGGCGCGUGGAAGAACUCUCUUUAAGGAACUCUGCAAAAUAGCACCGUAUCUUCGGUAUAAGGUGUGGUUCGCUUCGUAUUAGGAUUUACUCCGAAAGCGAAGAAACUUACAACAAAGAGUCCCUCCCGACUGUUUACCAAAAACACAGCACUCUGCUAACUCGUAAGAGGAUGUAUAGGGUGUGACGCCUGCCCGGUGCUCGAAGGUUAAUUGAUGGGGUUAGCAUUAGCGAAGCUCUUGAUCGAAGCCCGAGUAAACGGCGGCCGUAACUAUAACGGUCCUAAGGUAGCGAAAUUCCUUGUCGGUUAAAUACCGACCUGCAUGAAUGGCGUAACGAGAUGGGAGCUGUCUCAAAGAGGGAUCCAGUGAAAUUGUAGUGGAGGUGAAAAUUCCUCCUACCCGCGGCAAGACGGAAAGACCCCGUGGACCUUUACUACAGCUUGACACUGCUAUUUGGAUAAGAAUGUGCAGGAUAGGUGGGAGGCUUUGAGUAUAUGACGCCAGUUGUAUAUGAGCCAUUGUUGAGAUACCACUCUUUCUUAUUUGGGUAGCUAACCAGCUUGAGUUAUCCUCAAGUGGGACAAUGUCUGGUGGGUAGUUUGACUGGGGCGGUCGCCUCCCAAAUAAUAACGGAGGCUUACAAAGGUUGGCUCAGAACGGUUGGAAAUCGUUCGUAGAGUAUAAAGGUAUAAGCCAGCUUAACUGCAAGACAUACAAGUCAAGCAGAGACGAAAGUCGGUCUUAGUGAUCCGGUGGUUCUGUGUGGAAGGGCCAUCGCUCAAAGGAUAAAAGGUACCCCGGGGAUAACAGGCUGAUCUCCCCCAAGAGCUCACAUCGACGGGGAGGUUUGGCACCUCGAUGUCGGCUCA
rnacentral:rRNA from 1 species